rnacentral:tRNA from 1 species
GCCGAAGUGGCGGAAUUGGCAGACGCGCUAGGUUCAGGUCCUAGUCCGCUUAACGGCGGGUGGAGGUUCAAGUCCUCUCUUCGGCAC